AAGAAUUUUCAGAAGUAGUGCAGCCAUGAAGCUAAAGUACAGUAAAAGUUAGGGACACGAAACCUGUUCAGGUUUCGUGUCCCUAACUUUUACUGUACUUUAGCUUCAUGGCUGCACUACUUCUGAAAAUUCUUGGAUA
rnacentral:miRNA from 1 species